rnacentral:rRNA from 1 species
UACAGAGGGUGCAAGCGUUGUUCGGAAUUAUUGGGCGUAAAGAGCUUGUAGGCGGUUUGUCGCGUCUGCUGUGAAAUUUCGGGGCUCAACCCCGAACUUGCAGUGGGUACGGGCAGACUAGAGUGUGGUAGGGGAGACUGGAAUUCCUGGUGUAGCGGUGGAAUGCGCAGAUAUCAGGAGGAACACCGGUGGCGAAGGCGGGUCUCUGGGCAGUAACUGACGCUGAGGAGCGAAAGCGUGGGGAGCGAACAGG